CAAAUACUCCCUUCGUCCGGAAAUACUUGUCAUCAAAAUGGAUAAAAGGAAAUGUAUCUAGACGUAUUUUAGUUUUAGAUACAUCUCUUUUAUCCAUUUUUAUGACAAGUAUUUUCGGACGGAGGGAGUAGAAA
rnacentral:pre_miRNA from 1 species